UACAUGCAGUCGAGCGGACAGAUGGGAGCUUGCUCCCUGAUGUUAGCGGCGGACGGGUGAGUAACACGUGGGUAACCUGCCUGUAAGACUGGGAUAACUCCGGGAAACCGGGGCUAAUACCGGAUGCUUGUUUGAACCGCAUGGUUCAGACAUAAAAGGUGGCUUCGGCUACCACUUACAGAUGGACCCGCGGCGCAUUAGCUAGUUGGUGAGGUAACGGCUCACCAAGGCAACGAUGCGUAGCCGACCUGAGAGGGUGAUCGGCCACACUGGGACUGAGACACGGCCCAGACUCCUACGGGAGGCAGCAGUAGGGAAUCUUCCGCAAUGGACGAAAGUCUGACGGAGCAACGCCGCGUGAGUGAUGAAGGUUUUCGGAUCGUAAAGCUCUGUUGUUAGGGAAGAACAAGUGCCGUUCAAAUAGGGCGGCACCUUGACGGUACCGGGCCAGAAAGCCACGGCUAACUACGUGCCAGCAGCCGCGGUAAUACGUAGGUGGCAAGCGUUGUCCGGAAUUAUUGGGCGUAAAGGGCUCGCAGGCGGUUUCUUAAGUCUGAUGUGAAAGCCCCCGGCUCAACCGGGGAGGGUCAUUGGAAACUGGGGAACUUGAGUGCAGAAGAGGAGAGUGGAAUUCCACGUGUAGCGGUGAAAUGCGUAGAGAUGUGGAGGAACACCAGUGGCGAAGGCGACUCUCUGGUCUGUAACUGACGCUGAGGAGCGAAAGCGUGGGGAGCGAACAGGAUUAGAUACCCUGGUAGUCCACGCCGUAAACGAUGAGUGCUAAGUGUUAG
rnacentral:rRNA from 1 species